GAAGGCGCACAGGAGACUGAAGAGCAGCGCGGCCGGCUGCAGCCAAGGGCUGAGCUGCGCGCCGCCCCCGGGAGCACCUCCCCGAGGGCCCGGGAAGACGCCCCCUCGGGCUCCUUCCUCCUCCUCCUCCUCGGCCGCCGCCUCCUGACUCUUCUCCAGCUCGCCUCCGACCUCCCCGCCGACCAGCCUCACCAGCAGCGCCAGCAGCACGGACAGGGAGCCGGCGCACAGGGCCGAGGAGAGUUGAGGCGAGCGCCGGAGCGGCUGCAGCGCCAGGGCUCUCCAACAACAGCCGGAGCCCCGAGGGGAUGGAGAGGACUCGCCACGAUGGCGGUGGUUCCCUCUUGCCACACGGGCGGGACUCGCCCCUCCGAGGCCCGGCUUGGCUAGGUCUUGGGCGGCCUCGCCCCGCACUGCCAUGCUCUGCGGACAACCCCCACCCGUCCCACUCGCGCGUCCGCGCUCUUCUCGAGCCCACUCUCGGAAUCACUUCUUCCGGAUCUACGCGAAGUUUCAGCCUUGCAGAGAACUCAAGAGUGCGAGCUGAAGACUUCAAGUUGGCAGCUAGCAGGAUCAGCCUUGGAAUUUUCAACCCCCACUCCUCUCCUUUUCUCUUUCUCUCUCUCUCUCUCCCUCUCCCUCUCCCUCUCUCCUUUCCUUUCUCUCUUAAAAGUCCUCCGCUCCACCCUCAGCCAGAGUUUAUACCCUGCGGGGUCUCUUCCUACUUGGGGAUUUUAACACUUGCUCAACUCACUGAGUGCUCAGGGACCGCUGAUGCUGAGGCAGGCUGGGGCACUGGGCGAGCUCAGGCCAUCCUUGGGCGUUCAGGGACGGCAGGAAAUAUAGAGUGAGAAGAAUAAAAAGAUGAGAAAGGAAUAGAGAGAUGGCUCAGCAAUCAAGAGCCCCUACUGCUCUUUCAGAGAACCCAAGGAGUUCCCAGCACCCACAUCUGGUGACACAGAGCCACCUGCAUUUAACUCUAGUUCCAGGGGAUCUGAUGCCCUCAUCUGGACUCCACAGGUAUCUGCACUCACACAUAUUCACACAUAACAAACAAAAGGACAGACAGACAGAAAGAAAACUUUUAAGUAAUUUUAAAAGUCUAUCUGGGAGUGCCAGGACAUAUAACCCCGGGAUCUAGAAAGCUGAGACAGGAAAAGUGUUGGUUGGGAGUUAGAAGAGCCUGCAAGACAAAUGGAACACUGGGGGAAAGUGUAUCCCUCUCCCCAACUCCAGAGCACAAGUAUCCUUAGUCAACAGUUACUGUUUAUGUGUGGUAAAUUCUACUAUUUGCUGAGCUUCCUCUGCAGAGCUAGGAAGCCCAGCUAGUGACACACACCCACAACAAACAAAAUCCCUCCAUUAUUAAUGAUUUCAUGAUCACAUACCACAGUGACCAUGUGGCAUUUAGAAAACCACGAUGCUAACUUCAUUGGCAGUCUAUGCAAAAGAAUUCCGGAUCUGCUCAGUAUAUUCAAAUGACAUCAAAGUGUUGCUGGAAUAAGAAAUGUCAACUCUUGCUCAGCUUGAAUAGUGACUGACUGGGUGUCAUUUGUCUCUCCCAAAUAAUAAUAAACUGAUGUUUGUCUC
ensembl:antisense Gm28523 predicted gene 28523